UACAGAGGUCUCAAGCGUUGUUCGGAUUCAUUGGGCGUAAAGGGUGCGUAGGUGGCGCGGUAAGUCGGGUGUGAAAUCUCGGAGCUUAACUCCGAAAUUGCAUUCGAUACUGCCGUGCUUGAGGACUGGAGAGGAGACUGGAAUUCAUGGUGUAGCAGUGAAAUGCGUAGAGAUCAUGAGGAAGACCAGUGGCGAAGGCGGGUCUCUGGACAGUUCCUGACACUGAGGCACGAAGGCCAGGGGAGCAAACGGG
rnacentral:rRNA from 2 species